rnacentral:tRNA from 2 species
GUCGGGGUGGCUCAGCCUGGUUAGAGCGCCUGACUCAUAAUCAGGAGGUCGCGGGCUCAAAUCCCGCCCCCGACA